AGCCUUCCGUAUCUGUGCUGAGAUUUCGUCACACACUAGACCACAAUGGCUGACGUGACUCCUAAGAUAAGUGAAGCA
rnacentral:pre_miRNA from 1 species